UGGUGACUGAGGGUUAAAUGGUGCAGCAGCAGGACCAGCAGGUUGUAUCAUCCCCAACAACUGCCACUGAUCUCCUUCUGGCCAUGGUGCAUGCUGUUGUUAUGAUGUCAUAGUCUGCAUCACCAGGGCUGUGGUGAACCUCAACACCAGCUUUCUCCAGCUCACUGCCGAUGAAGUGCAGGAACUUCUGUUUGUUCUUUGU